AUGUACAUUCCUACAACAUAGCACUAAUGCACCAGAUCCUAUUAGAACUCCACAAUUAAGCAUGCUCAAGCUAGAGUAGUACUAGGAUGGGUGACCGCCCGAGAAGUCCUACUAUUUUACAUG
rfam:Picea glauca, whole genome shotgun sequence.